rnacentral:lncRNA from 1 species
GGGUGAUGGCCCUCCGGCGAUGGCCAUUUAAUCUUAUCAUAAAUCUUCUUAAAGUUUAUUUUAAAGACUACCCCAUCAAAUUUCUGUAAGUGAACAUUAUGUAAUGUUUCAUAUAGGACGAUCACAUCUCUAAUAUGUAUCGGCCCGACAUGAAUGUCGUCUGAGUCAGUUGGAUCAUACUAUGCGCAAUAUGUGUCACGUGAUUCAUACCGAUUCUUGUAAAGAAAAAUUUGUUGAAAAUAUGCCCUAGAGGCAAUAAUAAAAUGGUUAUUAU